rnacentral:rRNA from 2 species
GGGUUGUGAGGUUAAGCGACUAAGCGUACACGGUGGAUGCCCUGGCAGUCAGAGGCGAUGAAGGACGUGCUAAUCUGCGAAAAGCGUCGGUAAGGUGAUAUGAACCGUUAUAACCGGCGAUGUCCGAAUGGGGAAACCCAGUGCAAUUCGUUGCACUAUCGUUAACUGAAUACAUAGGUUAACGAGGCGAACCGGGGGAACUGAAACAUCUAAGUACCCCGAGGAAAAGAAAUCAACCGAGAUUCCCCCAGUAGCGGCGAGCGAACGGGGAGCAGCCCAGAGUCUGAAUCAGCUUGUGUGUUAGUGGAACGGUCUGGAAAGUCCGACGGUACAGGGUGAUAGUCCCGUACACCAAAAUGCACAGGCUGUGAACUCGAAGAGUAGGGCGGGACACGUGGUAUCCUGUCUGAAUAUGGGGGGACCAUCCUCCAAGGCUAAAUACUCCUGACUGACCGAUAGUGAACCAGUACCGUGAGGGAAAGGCGAAAAGAACCCCGGCGAGGGGAGUGAAAAAGAACCUGAAACCGUGUACGUACAAGCAGUGGGAGCACCUUCGGGUGUGACUGCGUACCUUUUGUAUAAUGGGUCAGCGACUUAUAUUCUGUAGCAAGGUUAACCGUAUAGGGGAGCCGCAGGGAAACCGAGUCUUAACUGGGCGUUAAGUUGCAGGGUAUAGACCCGAAACCCGGUGAUCUAGCCAUGGGCAGGUUGAAGGUUGGGUAACACUAACUGGAGGACCGAACCGACUAAUGUUGAAAAAUUAGCGGAUGACUUGUGGCUGGGGGUGAAAGGCCAAUCAAACCGGGAGAUAGCUGGUUCUCCCCGAAAGCUAUUUAGGUAGCGCCUCGUGAAUUCAUCUUCGGGGGUAGAGCACUGUUUCGGCUAGGGGGUCAUCCCGACUUACCAACCCGAUGCAAACUACGAAUACCGAAGAAUGUUAUCACGGGAGACACACGGCGGGUGCUAACGUCCGUCGUGAAGAGGGAAACAACCCAGACCGCCAGCUAAGGUCCCAAAGUCAUGGUUAAGUGGGAAACGAUGUGGGAAGGCACAGACAGCCAGGAUGUUGGCUUAGAAGCAGCCAUCAUUUAAAGAAAGCGUAAUAGCUCACUGGUCGAGUCGGCCUGCGCGGAAGAUGUAACGGGGCUAAACCAUGCACCGAAGCUGCGGCAGCGACACUAUGUGUUGUUGGGUAGGGGAGCGUUCUGUAAGCCUGCGAAGGUGACCUGUGAGGGUUGCUGGAGGUAUCAGAAGUGCGAAUGCUGACAUAAGUAACGAUAAAGCGGGUGAAAAGCCCGCUCGCCGGAAGACCAAGGGUUCCUGUCCAACGUUAAUCGGGGCAGGGUGAGUCGACCCCUAAGGCGAGGCCGAAAGGCGUAGUCGAUGGGAAACAGGUUAAUAUUCCUGUACUUGGUGUUACUGCGAAGGGGGGACGGAGAAGGCUAUGUUAGCCGGGCGACGGUUGUCCCGGUUUAAGCAUGUAGGCUGGUUGUCCAGGCAAAUCCGGAUAAUCAAGGCUGAGGUGUGAUGACGAGGCACUACGGUGCUGAAGUAACAAAUGCCCUGCUUCCAGGAAAAGCCUCUAAGCAUCAGGUAACAUCAAAUCGUACCCCAAACCGACACAGGUGGUCAGGUAGAGAAUACCAAGGCGCUUGAGAGAACUCGGGUGAAGGAACUAGGCAAAAUGGUGCCGUAACUUCGGGAGAAGGCACGCUGGUGUGUAGGUGAAGUCCCUGCGGAUGGAGCUGAGACCAGUCGAAGAUACCAGCUGGCUGCAACUGUUUAUUAAAAACACAGCACUGUGCAAACACGAAAGUGGACGUAUACGGUGUGACGCCUGCCCGGUGCCGGAAGGUUAAUUGAUGGGGUUAUCCGUAAGGAGAAGCUCUUGAUCGAAGCCCCGGUAAACGGCGGCCGUAACUAUAACGGUCCUAAGGUAGCGAAAUUCCUUGUCGGGUAAGUUCCGACCUGCACGAAUGGCGUAAUGAUGGCCAGGCUGUCUCCACCCGAGACUCAGUGAAAUUGAACUCGCUGUGAAGAUGCAGUGUACCCGCGGCAAGACGGAAAGACCCCGUGAACCUUUACUAUAGCUUGACACUGAACAUUGAGCCUUGAUGUGUAGGAUAGGUGGGAGGCUUUGAAGCGUGGACGCCAGUCUGCGUGGAGCCAACCUUGAAAUACCACCCUUUAAUGUUUGAUGUUCUAACGUUGGCCCCUUACCGGGGUUGCGGACAGUGUCUGGUGGGUAGUUUGACUGGGGCGGUCUCCUCCCAAAGCGUAACGGAGGAGCACGAAGGUUAGCUAAUCCUGGUCGGACAUCAGGAGGUUAGUGCAAUGGCAUAAGCUAGCUUGACUGCGAGCGUGACGGCGCGAGCAGGUGCGAAAGCAGGUCAUAGUGAUCCGGUGGUUCUGAAUGGAAGGGCCAUCGCUCAACGGAUAAAAGGUACUCCGGGGAUAACAGGCUGAUACCGCCCAAGAGUUCAUAUCGACGGCGGUGUUUGGCACCUCGAUGUCGGCUCAUCACAUCCUGGGGCUGAAGUAGGUCCCAAGGGUAUGGCUGUUCGCCAUUUAAAGUGGUACGCGAGCUGGGUUUAGAACGUCGUGAGACAGUUCGGUCCCUAUCUGCCGUGGGCGCUGGAGAAUUGAGGGGGGCUGCUCCUAGUACGAGAGGACCGGAGUGGACGCAUCACUGGUGUUCGGGUUGUCAUGCCAAUGGCACUGCCCGGUAGCUAAAUGCGGAAGAGAUAAGUGCUGAAAGCAUCUAAGCACGAAACUUGCCCCGAGAUGAGUUCUCCCUGAGACUUUAAGUCUCCUGAAGGAACGUUGAAGACGACGACGUUGAUAGGCCGGGUGUGUAAGCGCAGCGAUGCGUUGAGCUAACCGGUACUAAUGAACCGUGAGGCUUAACCUUACAACGCCGAAG